rnacentral:lncRNA from 1 species
CCUGAGUCCACAGUCUGCACAAGGUUUCACUCUUGGUGUCGUAUAUGCUGUGACUUCAGACAAAUGCAAUGGGGAUAUAGUGAAGAAGAAAAUAAACAUGGCCUCGUCCUCUUGGACUUUGUAGUCAAAUGAGAAGACAGGCAAUUAAAAAGCAACUGUAAUGGAAUAAGCUUCGUUGGGUGAUGUCAGAAGGGCCACAAAACCAUUGACCAUGUGAUAAUGUGAUGAAACCAUUUAUCACGACUAUAAGAAGAGGCCAAAUAACUCGAGAAUAC